AUGAAGAGGCGGGCGACCAACCAGCCCCCCAUCGCAGCCCACGCGCAGCGGAGGACGGCGGCGACAGGGACCAGCAGCAGCAGCAGCCGGCAGGGGCGGCGGCGGCGGAGGGGCGCGGCAGGGAGAGCGUGAAGCUGUUCGUGGGGCAGGUGCCCAAGCAGAUGUCCGAGCCCGAGCUCGCCGCCAUGUUCGCCCGCGUCGCGCUCGUUGACGAGGUCACCGUCAUCCGCGACAGGGCCACCUGGGUCUCGCGAGGCCUUAAGUCCAUUGCAAGUAAAAUAUGCUGACAGAGAGUUGGAAAGAUUGGAGCACAAGCUUUUGUUGAAAUGCUCCCGAAAAAUGUAACAGAUGCUGAAAUGACCGAUUUAUUUUCACAAAAUGGGAAUAUCAAGGAUUUGCAGAUUUUGAGAGGUUCGCAACAGGCAAGCAAAGCUGGCUGUGCCUUUCUGAAAUAUGAAACAAAAGAGCAAGCUGUGGCUGCGAUAGAAGCUCUAAAUGGAAAGCACAAGAUAGAGGGUUCAAGUGUUCCCUUGGUUGUCAAAUGGGCUGACACUGAAAAGGAAAGACAGGGUCGAAAAACACAAAAAGCUCAAUUCCAGUCUUCUAACAUGUUGAAUGCAAAUGCCAUGCAGCAGACCUCAUUGUUUGGAGCUUUACAGAUGGGAUAUGUGCCUCAGUACAACAGAUUUGGCUACCAGCCACAAGGAACCUAUGGACUUAUGCAGUACCUACAACAACAAUAACAACAACUUAGACUUUUGUCCCAAGCAAGUUGGGGUAGGCUAGAGAUGAAACCCACAGAAAAUAAGAAUAAGAAACACAAAAAGGGCAUAAGCCAAAGGAAGAGUUAGGGGUUAAACAAAAGUAACAAAGAUCACGGUUCAGACGAUAACAGAUUCACAGGAGAGGAGUGUUCCCUUCUCCUUUGCAAGUGUGCAGAGGAAAGACAAUGCUCAAUCAGAAAAGGAAAACAUUUGAUAGGGAAGUAGCAGAUUGGGUAGGAGAAAGAUGUUACUGACUAUGAGAAAUUUAAGCUGCAUCAGAUAUUAAGCUAGUGUGAUAUUUAAUUUUUUGCCACUAUUUAAGGAUAGUAAAUAGUCAAUUAUAUCUACUGAACAGCUCACAUUGAAUAUUGACUGUAUCUUCUGUUCUGUUCCAGCACAUCGAAGUGAUUGCUUCUAAAAUAAAAGAAGCAAUCUCUGAGAAAAAAUUGUUUACUGAAGCCUCCAAGUGCCAUUCUUGAAUGUGAUAUGCUGAGAAGAGGAGCAAUGGCACUACAGAUGUGUUGGUAUACUGGAGA